rnacentral:rRNA from 1 species
UACGUAGGGGGCAAGCGUUGUCCGGAAUCAUUGGGCGUAAAGCGCGUGUAGGCGGCUGAGUAAGUCCGCUCUGAAAGCCCGGGGCUCAACCCCGGGAGGCGGGUGGAUACUGCUCAGCUCGAGUUCGGAAGAGGAGUGUGGAAUUCCUGGUGUAGCGGUGAAAUGCGCAGAUAUCGGGAAGAACACCCGUGGCUAAGGCGGCUCGCUAGUACGGUACUGACGCUGAGACGCGAAAGCGUGGGGAGCAAACAGG